rnacentral:rRNA from 1 species
UACGUAGGGGGCUAGCGUUGUCCGGAAUCAUUGGGCGUAAAGCGCGCGUAGGCGGCCCGGUAAGUCCGUUGUGAAAGUCAAAGGCUCAACCUUUGAAUGCCGAUGGAUACUGCCGGGCUCGAGUCCGGAAGAGGCGAGUGGAAUUCCUGGUGUAGCGGUGGAAUGCGCAGAUAUCAGGAGGAACACCGAUAGCGAAGGCAGCUCGCUGGGACGGUACUGACGCUAAGGCGCGAAAGCAUGGGGAGCGAACAGG